rnacentral:rRNA from 1 species
UUUAUGGAGAGUUUGAUCCUGGCUCAGGAUGAACGCUGGCGGCGUGCCUAAUACAUGCAAGUCGAGCGAACGGACGAGAAGCUUGCUUCUCUGAUGUUAGCGGCGGACGGGUGAGUAACACGUGGAUAACCUACCUAUCAGACUGGGAUAACUUCGGGAAACCGGAGCUAAUACCGGAUAAUAUUUUGAACCGCAUGGUUCAAAAGUGAAAGACGGUCUUGCUGUCACUUAUAGAUGGAUCCGCGCUGCAUUAGCUAGUUGGUAAGGUAACGGCUUACCAAGGCAACGAUGCAUAGCCGACCUGAGAGGGUGAUCGGCCACACUGGAACUGAGACACGGUCCAGACUCCUACGGGAGGCAGCAGUAGGGAAUCUUCCGCAAUGGGCGAAAGCCUGACGGAGCAACGCCGCGUGAGUGAUGAAGGUCUUCGGAUCGUAAAACUCUGUUAUUAGGGAAGAA